UUAAAUUUGUAAGGGCGUAUGGUGGAUGCCUUGGCAUUAGAAGCUGAUGAAGGACGUGACUAACUACGAUAUGCUUCGGGGAGAUGUACGUAAUCUUUGAUCCGGAGAUUUCCGAAUGGGGGAACCCACUAGUGGUAAUGCACUAGUAUCGCAUAAUGAAUAUAUAGUUAUGCAGAAAGCAACCCAGUGAACUGAAACAUCUUAGUAACUGGAGGAACAGAAAGAAAAAUCGAUUUCCUUAGUAGUGGCGAGCGAAACGGAAAGAGCCCAAACCGACUUUAGAGUCGGGGUUGUAGGACCUCUCUAUAAGAGUUACAAAUUCAUAACAUAGUUGAACUUUUCUGGAAAGUUAGACGAAACAAGGUGAUAGUCCUGUAAACGAAAUGUUAUGAACUCUUUGAGGUAUCCUGAGUACAACGAGACACGAGAAAUCUUGUUGGAAUCUGCGGGGACCAUCCCGUAAGGCUAAAUACUAUCUAAUGACCGAUAGUGAACAAGUACCGUGAGGGAAAGGUGAAAAGAACCCCGGGAGGGGAGUGAAAUAGAAACUGAAACCGUAUGCUUACAAAAAGUUCGAGCACAUUAAUGUGUGAGAGCGUGCCUUUUGCAGAAUGAACCGGCGAGUUAUUGUAUUAUGCAAGGUUAAGUCGAACAGAUGGAGCCGAAGCGAAAGCGAGUCUGAAUAGGGCGCUUAAGUAUGAUGCAAUAGACCCGAAACCGAGUGAUCUAGCCAUGAGCAGGUUGAAGUUGGGGUAAGACCCAAUGGAGGACCGAACCGAUAUGCCCGGAAACGCGUACGGAUGACUUGUGGUUAGCGGAGAAAUUCCAAACGAACUCGGAGAUAGCUGGUUCUCCCCGAAAUAGGUUUAGGCCUAGCCUUGAUUGAAUCUGCCUGGAGGUAGAGCACUGAAUGUGCGAUGGCGUCGUCUAGAUGUACUGAGUACAAUCAAACUCCGAAUGCUGGGUAGUACUAAUCAGGAGUCACUGUAUGGGUGAUAACGUCCAUACGGGAGAGGAAAAGAAUCCGGAUCGCCAGCUAAGGUCCCAAAAUUUGUGUUAAGUGGGAAAGGAUGUAGAGUUGUCAAAACAGCUAGGAGGUUGGCUUAGAAGCAGCCACCCUUUAAAGAGUGCGUAAUAGCUCACUAGUCGAGUGACACUGCGCCGAAGAUGUACCGGGGCUAAACACAAUACCGAAGCUGCGGACUUGCAUGUAAGUGCAAGUGGUAGGGGAGCGUUCUAAGUGCUGAGAAGGUAGACCGUAAGGACUGCUGGAGCGCUUAGAAGUGAGAAUGCCGGUGUGAGUAACGAAAAUUGGGUGAGAAUCCCAUUCACCGUUUGACUAAGGGUUCCUGGGUAAAGUUCGUCUUCUCAGGGUAAGUCAGGACCUAAGAUGAGGCUGAAAAGCGUAGUCGAUGGACAACAGGUUGAUAUUCCUGUACCACCUAUAUGACUGAAGGAGUGACGGAGAAAGCUAGUGAGAGCCAGUUAAUGGAUUCUGGUCUAAGUGCGUAGGCUAGUAUGUUGGCAAAUCCGCAAUACUAUAACAGCUGAAACAUGAUGGGGAAGAGAGUCUUCGGACAAUCGAACUUUCAUGAUGCUAUGCUUCCAAGAAAAGCUUCUAGGGUUAAUCGUAUAGGUGCCUGUACCGACAACCGACACAGGUGGUCAAGGAGAGUAUCCUAAGGUGAGCGAGAGAACUAUGGUUAAGGAACUCGGCAAAAUGACCCCGUAACUUCGGGAGAAGGGGUGGUCUAGCGAUAGACCCGCAGUGAAUAGGCCCAGGCAACUGUUUACCAAAAACACAGGUCUCUGCUAACACGUAAGUGGAUGUAUAGGGGCUGACGCCUGCCCAGUGCUGGAAGGUUAAAGAGAUUAGUUAGUAUGACGUAAGUCGAUAAUACGAAGCUUUGAACUGAAGCCCCAGUGAACGGCGGCCGUAACUAUAACGGUCCUAAGGUAGCGAAAUUCCUUGUCAGGUAAGUUCUGACCCGCACGAAAGGCGUAAUGAUUUGGGCACUGUCUCAACAGCCCGCCCGGCGAAAUUGUAGUACCGGUGAAGAUGCCGGUUACCCGCGACAAGACG
rnacentral:rRNA from 1 species